UUAGGAAAUCAUGGGUAUGCAAUGCAUAGCAUAGGGAAUACAGUCGAUAAUAUUGUAAUAACUUUGUGUGGUGACAGAUGGUAACUAGACUUAUUGUGAUCAUUUUGU